UACGUAGGGGGCAAGCGUUGUCCGGAUUUAUUGGGCGUAAAGAGCGUGUAGGCGGCUAGAUAGGUCCGUUGUGAAAACUCGAGGCUCAACCUCGAGACGUCGAUGGAAACCAUCUGGCUAGAGUCCGGAAGAGGAGAGUGGAAUUCCUGGUGUAGCGGUGAAAUGCGCAGAUAUCAGGAAGAACACCCGUGGCGAAGGCGGCUCUCUGGGACGGUACUGACGCUGAGGCGCGAAAGCGUGGGGAGCGAACAGG
rnacentral:rRNA from 1 species